GUGCCAGCCGCCGCGGUAAUACGUAGGGUGCGAGCGUUGCCCGGAUUUAUUGGGCGUAAAGGGCGCGCAGGCGGCCACGUGCGUCCGUUGUGAAAUCGCUCGGCUCAACUGGGCGAGGUCAGCGGAUACGGCGUGGCUGGAGCAAGCUAGGGGGCAAUGGAAUUCCCGGUGUAGUGGUGGAAUGCGUAGAUAUCGGGAGGAACACCAGUGGCGAAGGCGGUUGCCUGGAGCUUUGCUGACGCUGAGGCGCGAAAGCGUGGGGAGCGAUCCGGAUUAGAUACCCGUGUAGUCC
rnacentral:rRNA from 1 species